GGCUAGGGUUUUAACAAGGAAAGAUUGGGAAGCAUUUUGAAACAUCAGCCGCCAACCAAAACCAUCAUAUUACAAGGCUUUGCUUCUACUCUUACAAAGAUGAAUGUGAUUCAUGGAGAAAAUGUUGAACCACCAAGAUUUUGGGAGAUGGUUACCACUGCUAACCAUGUUCAGGGCAGAGCAGUUUUGCAUUUCCCCCGAACAAUCGUGUCUAACUAUUUGCUACCUCAGCAACGACAGAUUCUUCUGAUUUUGGAUAACUCAAACAUUUCUGUGAAUUGCAUGAUUAAUACAUCACCAAGAAAUAUGAAUGAGAAGUAUAUAACUCAAGGGUGGAUUGCAUUUGUCAAACAAGCUAAUAUCAACAUUGGUUCCAGGCUUAGGAUUACUCUUUUAGAUCCACCACAAAUUUUGAAGGUUCGAAUCAUCGACCAACAUGAGUAACUCUAUUUAU